rnacentral:tRNA from 1 species
AUUUAUAUAGUUUAAAUAAAACAUUAUAUUUUCAAUAUAAAAAUAAAAAUAUAUUUUUUAUAAAUA